rnacentral:lncRNA from 1 species
AUGUCAUCCCUGGUGGGUAUCAGAGGGUCAGUACGUCAUCCCUGGUGGGUAUCAGAGGGUCAUCCCUGGUGGGUAUCAGAGGGUCAUCCCUGGUGGGUAUCAGAGGGUCAGUAUGUCAUCCCUGGUGGGUAUCAGAGGGUCAGCAUGUCAUCCCUGGUGGGUAUCAGAGGGUCAGUACGUCAUCCCUGGUGGGUAUCAGAGGGUCAUCCCUGGUGGGUAUCAGAGGGUCGUCCCUGGUGGGUAUCAGAGGGUCGUCCCUGGUGGGUAUCAGAGGGUCAGUCUGUCAUCCCUGGUGGGUAUCAGAGGGUCAGUAUGUCAUCCCUGGUGGGUAUCAGAGGGUCAGUCUGUCAUCCCUGGUGGGUAUCAGAGGGUCAUCCCUGGUGGGUAUCAGAGGGACAACCAGUCAGGGCCUCCAGAUAUAGAGGCCUGUUAUCAUCCCUGGUGGGUAUCAGAGGGUCAGUCUGUCAUCACUGGUGGGUAUCAGAGGGUCAGUCUGUCAUCCUUGGUGGGUAUCAGAGGGUCAAUAUGUCAUCCCUGGUGGGUAUCAGAGGGUCAUCCCUGGUGGGUAUCAGAGGGUCGUCCCUGGUGUGUAUCAGAGGGUCAGUAUGUCAUCCCUGGUGGGUAUCAGAGGGUCAUCCCUGGUGGGUAUCAGAGGGUCAUCCCUGGUGGGUAUCAGAGGGUCAUCCCUGGUGGGUAUCAGAGGGUCAUCCCUGGUGGGUAUCUGAGGGUCAGUAUGUCAUCCCUGGUGGGUAUCAGAGGGCCAGUACGUCAUCCCUGGUGGGUAUCAGAGGGUCAGUAUGUCAUCCCUGGUGGGUAUCAGAGGGUCAUCCCUGGUGGGUAUCAGAGGGUCAGUAUGUCGUCCCUGGUGGGUAUCAGAGGGUCAUCCCUGGUGGGUAUCAGAGGGUCAUCCCUGGUGGGUAUCAGAGGGUCAUCCCUGGUGGGUAUCAGAGGGUCAUCCCUGGUGGGUAUCAGAGGGUCAUCCCUGGUGGGUAUCUGAGGGUCAGUAUGUCAUCCCUGGUGGGUAUCAGAGGGUCAGUAUGUCAUCCCUGGUGGGUAUCAGAGGGUCAUCCCUGGUGGGUAUCAGAGGGACAACCAGUCAGGGCCUCCAGAUAUAGAGGCCUGUUAUCAUCCCUGGUGGGUAUCAGAGGGUCAGUCUGUCAUCACUGGUGGGUAUCAGAGGGUCAGUCUGUCAUCCUUGGUGGGUAUCAGAGGGUCAGUAUGUCAUCCUUGGUGGGUAUCAGAGGGUCAUCCCUGGUGGGUAUCAGAGGGUCGUCCCUGGUGUGUAUCAGAGGGUCGUCCCUGGUGUGUAUCAGAGGGUCAGUAUGUCAUCCCUGGUGGGUAUCAGAGGGUCAUCCCUGGUGGGUAUCAGAGGGUCAUCCCUGGUGGGUAUCAGAGGGUCAUCCCUGGUGGGUAUCAGAGGGUCAUCCCUGGUGGGUAUCAGAGGGUCAUCCCUGGUGGGUAUCUGAGGGUCAGUAUGUCAUCCCUGGUGGGUAUCAGAGGGCCAGUACGUCAUCCCUGGUGGGUAUCAGAGGGUCAGUAUGUCAUCCCUGGUGGGUAUCAGAGGGUCGUCCCUGGUGGGUAUCAGAGGGUCAUCCCUGGUGGGUAUCAGAGGGUCAGUAUGUCGUCCCUGGUGGGUAUCAGAGGGUCAUCCCUGGUGGGUAUCAGAGGGUCAUCCCUGGUGGGUAUCAGAGGGUCAUCCCUGGUGGGUAUCUGAGGGUCAGUAUGUCCUCCCUGGUGGGUAUCAGAGGGUCAGUAUGUCAUCCCUGGUGGGUAUCAGAGUGUCAGUAUGUCAUCCCUGGUGGGUAUCAGAGGGUCAUCCCUGGUGGGUAUCAGAGGGUCAUCCCUGGUGGGUAUCAGAGGGUCAUCCCUGGUGGGUAUCAGAGGGUCAGUAUGUCAUCCCUGGUGGGUAUCAGAGGGUCAUCCCUGGUGGGUAUCAGAGGGUCAUCCCUGGUGGGUAUCAGAGGGUCCUCCCUGGUGGGUAUCAGAGGGUCAGUAUGUCAUCCCUGGUGGGUAUCAGAGGGUCAUCCCUGGUGGGUAUCAGAGGGUCAGUAUGUCAUCCCUGGUGGGUAUCUGAGGGUCAUCCCUGGUGGGUAUCAGAGGGACAACCAGUCACGGCCUCCAGAUAUAGAGGCCUGUUAUCAAAGCAGAGAGAUCACUGAAGACAGUCACUCCCUUUUCACUUCAUUUCAGACAUUUUCAAAGGCACAAUUUCUGCAAAGAGUUUGUUGUUAUUGUGUGUGUGUGUGUGUGUGUGUGUGUGUGUGA